GAUGAACGCUGGCGGCGUGCCUAAUACAUGCAAGUCGAGCGAACGGACGAGAAGCUUGCUUUUCUGAUGUUAGCGGCGGACGGGUGAGUAACACGUGGAUAACCUACCUAUAAGACUGGGAUAACUUCGGGAAACCGGAGCUAAUACCGGAUAAUAUUUUGAACCGCAUGGUUCAAAAGUGAAAGACGGUCUUGCUGUCACUUAUAGAUGGAUCCGCGCUGCAUUAGCUAGUUGGUAAGGUAUCGGCUUACCAAGGCAACGAUGCAUAGCCGACCUGAGAGGGUGAUCGGCCACACUGGAACUGAGACACGGUCCAGACUCCUACGGGAGGCAGCAGUAGGGAAUCUUCCGCAAUGGGCGAAAGCCUGACGGAGCAACGCCGCGUGAGUGAUGAAGGUCUUCGGAUCGUAAAACUCUGUUAUUAGGGAAGAAUAUAUGUGUAAGUAACUGUGCACAUCUUGACGGUACCUAAUCAGAAAGCCACGGCUAACUACGUG
rnacentral:rRNA from 1 species